rnacentral:rRNA from 1 species
UACAGAGGUCCCGAGCGUUGUUCGGAUUCAUUGGGCGUAAAGGGUGCGUAGGCGGCGGGGAAAGUCUGAUGUGAAAUCCUGGGGGCUCAACCCUGGAACUGCAUUGGAUACUUCCUUGCUAGAGUACUGGAGAGGAAACUGGAAUUUACGGUGUAGCAGUGAAAUGCGUAGAGAUCGUAAGGAAGACCAGUGGCGAAGGCGAGUUUCUGGACAGUUACUGACGCUGAGGCACGAAGGCCAGGGGAGCAAACGGG